rnacentral:lncRNA from 1 species
UUAGCGACAUGAAAUGACACACCAAAAUUUCCACACAUCCACAUCCUAUCAAAGGAUGGACCAAGAUAAACUAAAACAAAAUAAGUUCAACAAUAUAACAACUUAAGUUAGACAACAAUAAAAUAAGUCUCAAUCAAAUCCUAAGAUAAAAACUGAAAAUUGAAAAACUGAAAUAACAUCAAAAAGGCCAUCCAUCAAUCCUCAUCACUCAAUCC